GAGGGGUGGAGGUGUAGGAGGAACAGAGGUGAGGGGGAGGGGUGGAGGUGUAGGAGGAACAGAGGUGAGGGGGAGGGGUGGAGGUGUAGGAGGAACAGAGGUGAGGGGGAGGGGUGGAGGUGUAGGAGGAACAGAGGUGAGGGGGAGGGGUGGAGGUGAGGGAGGAACAGAGGGGCGGGGGAGGGGUGGAGGUGUAGGAGGAACAGAGGUGAGGGGGAGGGGUGGAGGUGUAGGAGGAACAGAGGUGAGGGGGAGGGGUGGAGGUGUAGGAGGAACAGAGGUGAGGGGGAGGGGUGGAGGUGUAGGAGGAACAUAGGUGAGGGGGAGGGGUGGAGGUGCAGGAGGCCACAGGGAGAAACAAGGAGCAGAGGUGAGAGUGAGGCAUGGAGGAAGAGGUGAGGGAGGGAGGGGUGGUGUUGUGUUCAGCGUGAGGCAUGGAGGAAGAGGUGAGGGAGGGAGGGGUGGUGUUGUGUUCAGCGUGAGGCAUGGAGGAAGAGGUGAGGGAGGGAGGGGUGGUGUUGUGUUCAGCGUGAGGCAUGGAGGAAGAGGUGAGGGAGGGAGGGGUGGUGUUGUGUUCAGCAUGAGGCAUGGAGGAAGAGGUGAGGGAGGGAGGGGUGGUGUUGUGUUCAGCGUGAGGCAUGGAGGAAGGGAGGAAGAGGUGGGUGAGGGAGGGAGGGAGGGAGGGAUGGUGUUGUGUUCAGCGUGAGGCAUCACAGUCAGGCGCUGGUGAGUGUCAGGCUGGGUGCAUGGAAAUGAAGGAAGCUUUGAGGGUCAUCAUUGUGUUCAUGAGUGUUGAUGGUUCUGGCUCACCAUGGGACAAUAGCAACACAAGAAUGGGUCACUACCAGACAAAGGUUACUGAGUGUGGCAGCAGCAGUGACCACUACAUGUCUGUGUGUGGCAGCAGCCUGUGGGGGGGG